AUGCUUGCUUCAGCAACACAUAUACUAAGAUUGGAAUGAUUCACAGAAAGUCAGCAUGGCCCCUGUGGAAGGAUGACAUGACAAUUUAUGAAGCGUUCCAUAUGUUU
ensembl:snRNA U6 U6 spliceosomal RNA